rnacentral:rRNA from 1 species
GAGUUUGAUCCUGGCUCAGGAUGAACGCUAGCGGCAGGCUUAAUACAUGCAAGUCGAGGGGUAGUCCCGCUUCGGCGGGAUGAGACCGGCAAACGGGUGCGGAACACGUACACAACCUACCUUGAGAUGGGGGAUAGCCCAGAGAAAGUUUGGAUUAAUACCCCAAUGUGAUCCUUGGACGGCAUCGUCUGGGGGAUGAAAGAUUUAUUGUCUUGAGAUGGGUGUGCGUAUGAUUAGGUAGUUGGUGUAGGUAACGGCUCACCAAGCCUUCGAUCAUUAACUGGUGUG